rnacentral:rRNA from 1 species
UACGAAGGGGCUAGCGUUGUUCGGAAUUACUGGGCGUAAAGCGCACGUAGGCGGAUUGUUAAGUCAGGGGUGAAAUCCCGGGGCUCAACCCCGGAACUGCCUUUGAUACUGGCAUUCUCGAGUCCGGAAGAGGUGAGUGGAAUUCCGAGUGUAGAGGUGAAAUUCGUAGAUAUUCGGAGGAACACCAGUGGCGAAGGCAGCUCGCUGGGACGGUACUGACGCUGAGACGCGAAAGCGUGGGAGCAACAGG